GCCAUUCCGCGUGCAGGACGAAGGCCUUCGGGUUGUAAACUGCUUUUGUACGGAACGAAAAGGUCUCUAUUAAUACUAGGGGCUCAUGACGGUACCGUAAGAAUAAGCACCGGCUAACUACGUGCCAGCAGCCGCGGUAAUACGUAGGGUGCAAGCGUUAAUCGGAAUUACUGGGCGUAAAGCGUGCGCAGGCGGUUAUAUAAGACAGAUGUGAAAUCCCCGGGCUCAACCUGGGAACUGCAUUUGUGACUGUAUAGCUGGAGUGCGGCAGAGGGGGAUGGAAUUCCGCGUGUAGCAGUGAAAUGCGUAGAUAUGCGGAGGAACACCGAUGGCGAAGGCAAUCCCCUGGGCCUGCACUGACGCUCAUGCACGAAAGCGUGGGGAGCAAACAGGAUUAGAUACCCUGGUAGUCCACGCCCUAAACGAUGUCAACUGGUUGUUGGGUCUUCACUGACUCAGUAACGAAGCUAAC
rnacentral:rRNA from 1 species